AUCUAGUUUACAUCCAUCGGCUGGACAUGGCGGCACACGCGCUUUCCAGCUGGCAACAACAUCGCUGGCAACACACACCUAUGCAAGUGCACCUCAAGGACAACUCAACAGCUGUCGCACAUCCUCGGACCCCCAUCACACUCUGGAUUCCCCCCUCAACCCCUCCGGUUUUACCCUGACCAAGGGGACACUGCAGCUGCUGACACAACACCCCGACACAACUCUUGGCAGCCCCUGAAUACUCUCAAGAUGGCAGCUUGUGUCAGGUAGGACACCU